CUUGCACCCUAUAAGAGGUAAUGCCUGCCCAGUGACCAUGUGUUCAACGGCCGCGGUAUUCUGACCGCGCGAAGGUAGCGUAAUCACUUGUCUUCUAAAUAAAGACUAGUAUGAACGGCCACACGAAGACUUAACUGUCUCCCCUGUCCAAUCAGUGAAACUGAUCUCCUUGUGCAGAAGCGAGGAUAAACCCAUAAGACGAGAAGACCCUAUGGAGCUUUAAACUUAAUAUUAACUAUUUUUAUAAUCCCCUCUAAGGAAUUAACAAAUAACCCUUUCAACUUAAUAUUAGUUUUAGGUUGGGGCGACCAUGGAGAAAAAAAUAUCCUCCCUGAUGACUUUUAAACCAAGAGCUACAGCUCUAAGUAUUAAGAUACUUAACUUCCAUUGACCCAUUUUAUGAUCAACGAACCA
rnacentral:rRNA from 1 species